rnacentral:rRNA from 1 species
UACGGGGGGGGUAAGCGUUGUUCGGAAUUACUGGGCGUAAAGGGCUCGUAGGCGGCCAACUAAGUCAGACGUGAAAUCCCUCGGCUCAACCGGGGAACUGCGUCUGAGACUGAUGAGCUCGAGUGCAGGAGAGGAACGCGGAAUUCCAGGUGUAGCGGUGAAAUGCGUAGAUAUCUGGAGGAACACCGGUGGCGAAGGCGGCGUUCUGGACUGCAACUGACACUGAGGAACGAAAGCCAGGGGAGCAAACGGG